CGGAUCGCCUGGAGGAUGGCGCUCGCGCGGUCUUCGAUACGGCGUGCUUUCGAUGCGUCGUUCAUGCCGGCCGCGAUCUGA
rnacentral:tRNA from 1 species